AUUGAACGCUGGCGGCAGGCUUAACACAUGCAAGUCGAGCGGGGUGAUGGUGCUUGCACUAUCACUUAGCGGCGGACGGGUGAGUAAUGCUUAGGAAUCUGCCUAUUAGUGGGGGACAACAUCUCGAAAGGGAUGCUAAUACCGCAUACGUCCUACGGGAGAAAGCAGGGGAUCACUUGUGACCUUGCGCUAAUAGAUGAGCCUAAAUCGGAUUAGCUAGUUGGUGGGGUAAAGGCCUACCAAGGCGACGAUCUGUAGCGGGUCUGAGAGGAUGAUCCGCCACACUGGGACUGAGACACGGCCCAGACUCCUACGGGAGGCAGCAGUGGGGAAUAUUGGACAAUGGGGGGAACCCUGAUCCAGCCAUGCCGCGUGUGUGAAGAAGGCCUUAUGGUUGUAAAGCACUUUAAGCGAGGAGGAGGCUCUUUUGGUUAAUACCCAGGAUGAGUGGACGUUACUCGCAGAAUAAGCACCGGCUAACUCUGUGCCAGCCGCCGCAGUAA
rnacentral:rRNA from 1 species